rnacentral:rRNA from 1 species
UACGUAGGGGGCAAGCGUUGUCCGGAUUUAUUGGGCGUAAAGAGCGUGUAGGCGGCUAGGUAGGUCCGUUGUGAAAACUCGAGGCUCAACCUCGAGACGCCGGUGGAAACCAUCUAGCUAGAGUCCGGAAGAGGAGAGUGGAAUUCCUGGUGUAGCGGUGAAAUGCGCAGAUAUCAGGAGGAACACCGGUGGCGAAGGCGGGACUCUGGGCCGAUACUGACGCUGAGGAGCGAAAGCGUGGGGAGCAAACAGG